rnacentral:lncRNA from 1 species
ACGGGUGCGGGGGGCAGUUGGGGUCCAGCCGCGGGGGCGGCGCGGCGGGGCGAGGCGAGGGUCCCGACUUGGUUGACAUUCAUUAGCUCUGAUGAGCUUAAUUACCUUCCUCAAAUACUGCGGCGCGCAGGAGCGGCGCGGGCGGAGGCUACUUCCAGGAUGAUUUUAUUGAUUGUGACUGAUGGAUGGCAUCAACAUUUCAUAGUGAAGAAUCAUGGUUUUGUUACAUCAGGAAAAUUAAAUUGGGAGAGUUAUUUUCUCUCCCCGUGAUGGUGGCAGUUAGAAUAUUUCACCUGUAAUGAGAUGUGUGCGUUCUGUGCCACCGCGAGCCACGGCUCGGCCAUUAAAUCUAUGUAAAUGAAGAGAAACACGGGAGAGCCGCGCAUAAUAACGCGCGGAACAGAGAAAUGGAUCCUGGAAAGUGAUUAAUUUAUUUGAUGAUGCCUCAAGUGAGGAAUUUUAGGUCACAAAUGAAGUGACAGAAUGACAAAUUACCAUUUUAAAGAAUUUACUGGGCAUCAUUACUGAACAAUUGUCAGGUUAUGUCCCUUCCCCGGCUGUACGUCACGGUGCCUACUACCAGGACCGACUGCAGUGUGCACGGCGAAGUUGCAAUUUGAAAUAAAGACAUUGUCUCCAGAGCAUCCACUGAGACUAAUAUAUCUGAAAUAUAUCAUGAAAACAACAUUUAGAGAGGAGAAAUGGUAGAAAACUUAAAGUUUCAUAGAAUCCAGGGAGGUGAUAUAAAUAAGCAAAUCAGCCUGGUAGUACGCUAUGCUGAACGGAAGAGAAUGUGCGUCAGCUGGCCUGGAGCACCGUCAGAGGGUCCUGAAAAAGAUGUAUAUAAACAAUUUAUAUAUCAGUGCUUUGACAAUACUCUGGAAAAUAGAGUCUGAAGAAAGGACUAAAGAAGAAAAGAUGAAGGAAAGGAAACUGAGAUAAGAAAUAUGAAUGUAAGCUAAUUGACAUGCUCUCAAUAUGGGCAUUACUUCAUGACAAGCUUCAAGGGGAAAGAGCUGUAUAGAUAUGUCCAUUUAGUAUAUGGGAUUUUUCUGGAGCAAUCUAUGGGGUCCCAAUACUAAAAGAUUGCAUCACCUCUGGGACAGCAUCUCAGGAUGUCAUACCCUAUCUUCUUGGUACAGAGCUUCAACCAAGGCUAGAAAUGUCAUUAAAACUCCAGGUAUAUAGCUGGUUGGCUGAGUUAUGCAGGUGGUGGCCAAAGACAGGUGAUUGGCACUUCUAAGACAAGUGGAUAUUUGGAACUGUGUGUGGCAGUGUGGUAUAGGAAGUGAGUCACACUGUAAAUUCGAGGAUACCCUUAAGAGGUGGGGAUGUGGGGAAGUACAUAUCAGAACUCAAAAGACCAUCUUAACUGGAAGUCUUAUAGACAGUGUAUUCUCAUGUCUCUUUAAUUUUCAUUUUGCUUAAAUGAAUAUAUAUCACACAUAUAUACAGUAAACCCUUGAGAUUAUCUGGUUUAACACUCUCAUUUUAAAAAUAAGAGAAUUCAGGUUCGCAAAGGUGGUAUUACUUGCAUAAUUUGUUGAUACUAAGGAGUUUGCUUUACUUAAUUUCCUUAGCCUUAGAAUUUGGUUUUUAACCCAUUGUAAAAUCCAAAGGACUUCCCAUUAUUUUAUGCUUAUGCUCUAUGAGGAUAUAUCAAUUAAAAAAAGCAUAAGAUGGCACGAAAAGCUGUAAAAUUUCAAAUGACACACAAGUUGAACUAUCUGCUUUGUUUUCCAAAUAUGGUAUCUAAUAAAAUAGAACUUGAACUGAAUAGUGUUCA